AUUUAAUAAUGAGAAAAAUUUGAAGUCAUUAACAAGAGAAAAGUUGAAAACUAAUAAAGUUUAGCAGAAAUUUUGCCAAGAGAGAGAUGAGGGCCAGAUGUGGCUGACUUACAGCUGAGACAAGUCAACAGCAUCAAUGUUUUAUCUUAGUCUAUCCAAAAAAAAAUGUGUCUCCAAGAUGCCAUAUUUAUGCCUCCAGGUAUCUGUUUUAUUUGAUGUGUUGCUACUGUACUUUCAUUUCUUCACUUCUUUAUUCUAUCAAAAAUAUGUGUAUUACAAUUUGCAAUUGUAAAAAUUUGGAACCAGCCUGAAUGAUAUACCAUGGAAUACUACUCAGCAAUUAAAAGGAAUGAAAUAAUAGCAUUUAAAGUAGCCUGGAUGGAACUGGAGACUAUUAUUCUAAGUAAAGUAACUCAGGAAUGGAAAACCAAACAUCGUUGUUUUCACUAAUAUGUGGGAGCUAAACUAUAAGGAUGCAAAGGCAUAAGAAUGAUACAUUGGACUUUGGGGACUUAGGGGAGAAGGUAGGGGAUGGCAAGGGAUAAAUGACUACAUGUUGGGUACAGUGUACCCUGCUUGGGUGAUGGGUGCACCAAAAUCUUGGAAAUCACCAUUAAAGAACUUAUUCACGUAACCAAACACCCCAUGUUCCCCAAAAACCUAUUUAAAUAAAAAAUUGACAAAUUAAAAAAAUAAAAUAAAAUGAAUUAAUCAUAAAAAACCCCAAAACCAAAAAACAAAAAUAAGUGUAUUAAAUACCAAAUAUGUGACCAGAUACCAAUGAUUGGCAUUGCCUCUAAAGCAAGUGAAGUUACAGCCCUGACUCUCGCUAAGUUCUUCUCAUUCAUCUUUACCCACACCUUAUUCCCAGAUGGGAGUCACUUGCAAGAAUCACAAGGUGUGAAUGUGGGUUUUAUACUUUGGGGAUUGUGGGAUUCAUGGAAGUUACAGUUGGGAAAAUAUGUAUCUGGCUUUUGAACCCAUUGUAUUUCCUCUGUUGUCUCUAUACUGGAAACACCAAGGAAUUCAGUAAAAAGAGGUAGAACUUGGAAAGGCUGAAGCCCAUUUUAAAUAGAUCAAGUCCUCCCGGAGUGGGGGAAGAUGGCCACUGUGAAUUACAAGACCAGGCUAAUGAUGCUGUGAUAUACAUUUAGGUAGUAGUUGAGAUGUAGAAGGUGGGAGACCCAAAAGAAAGUUAGCAUAACUCUGUUUUUUUAUUCUUUUUCUUACUGUAAUGAAUCACCUAAGCUUCCUCUUUCAAUUCAUGGGGUAAUCUUUAAAUAACUACAGAAGAAGUGGGCAUAAUUAUAGACAGGUUCAUUCUUUUCAAGAUAUUUUUAUUCCAGCUGUGCGUUUCUUGAUAUUGUGUCUCCUUUCUCUCUCUUAUUGUCCUUUAUGUUUACACUCUGCAUAUUUUAAAAGAGUGAUUCCUUUUCCUUGUAAAUAAUUAGAAAUCAUAGAAGUUUCUAAAUAAACACAAAAUAAACAAUGGGAUGGUGUCUCCUUUUAUAGUUAAAGUUACAAGAUUGUAGAGAAAAAUGAUUGGAAAUAGGUUGAUUCCAUGAAGCUAGGAAUAGAAAGAAUAGAAGGGAAGAGGAUUUGCAUCGCACUUUUUUAUGAUAUCUAAAAUCCAAGUUAUUUUCAUAGGGGCUUGUCAGUCCUAUAGAACAUUCUCUAUGUAGAGAGGAAAGUCACUACUGCAGAAGAGAUAACCUCCUAGGGUGCGUCCCCAGGGAUCCCAGCUUCUUCAGGCUUCUCUGAUCCAGUAUAAGUUACAAAACUUACAAUCAGUGGGGAAUUUCCUUAUUUGAAGUCUUGCCACUUCAGUGACUUUCUAAAUAGAAAUUAGAGAACCCAGAAAGGUUUUGAAAAAAUUUUUAGUUCUUCCUGGCAAUUGCAUGUAUAUUUUUUUCUGCAUGUUAUUUGGAUGUGAGGAGCUGUCAUUAUUAUUUUAGGAACAAAUAUGAAACAAUCUCUGGAAAAUGGAAUUUGAUUUUGAUUCAACAACAGGAGAAUUCUACUGUUUUUCUCCAGCAGCUCCACGAUAAAAGGGAACCCUGAGCAGAACACAUGCACAAACUCAUGCCAUACCCUAAGGGACAAGGUUCCCCACAUCUACUUGGAAAUCUUUGGGAUGCUCAAUGGUAAGUACUGUAAGUUGCAAGAUUUCAAAAAUAUUCAGGAAGAAGAAAUUUGUGAGCCAAGUAGCUCCAAGUCAUUCAGCCUUCUGAGGUUACGCUGUCCUUUCAAAUACAAAUUCAAUAAAUGAGCCCUUCUUCCACAAAUUCAAUAAGUGAUGCAGUUGACUAAUACCCUUUCUCGUAUUUCCCUGAGUCAAUGAGUGAAAAGAAGUGGGUACAAGAUGCUCUUGGCUUAUAUAUUCUCCCAUUUGACAAACUUCCUAGUAUCCAUUUCCUAUAUCACUUUCUUUAGCUCUGGAGCUAUUAUCCUCCUGGUACCUGUCUCCUGCCUAUACCAAUUCAUUCCAAGCCAGAAAGGAGUACCUUUCCUUCAAAACCUUCUGUAUCAUUAACUCAGGGCUGUAACAGAGAAUUUACUUUACCUGAAGGUUUGGUCAUGUAGCACAAAUAAGGAAACGACCUCAAAUAGAAUAAGUGAAUCACCUUUCCUAAGUUCAUUAGCCAUUUCUGCUUUAGGGGACUGAUAUUUUUUAUGCUUUUUUUUUUUUUUUUGGCUCCUGGCCUGCUACUAUUUUUGUGGGUCUGCUCUCUUGUGCCACAGUCUUUUCCCCCUUUUCUUCAAGUCCUUAAAUUCACCUCCCACCCAUUUCAGACAAAACCUUUUUACAACACACAUUAUUACUGCAUGUGGAACUUACCGAUCAUUUGUUAAAUGGAACAAUUUAGCUAUUUAGCUUCCUUUGUGUCAACCUUCUCAUUCCAGACUCUGCCCUAGACAUUGCCUUUUGUAACAAAAAGUCCCAAUAAAAUGUUCUCUCAAACAAACUGCGGGUUGGCAAUGCACAUUUAACAAUAUAAGGAUUGGCAGAAACUUUGAAAAUCACAGCUCUUCUUUAACUGUUUAAAGAUAAAAUUCUUAGGUGGUCUCCAGGUCGAAGCAUUACUCAUGACUGCUCUGUCAGGGGCUUUGUUAGAGGAAGCAGGAUGGUGGCAGAGUUCUUUGCUCCUUCUCGGGACAUAAAAUCUGCGGGUCAGAGUGGCCCCACCUGCCUCCCUCUCUUCCACAGUCAAACACAGCCUAGACUGCCUGAUUUGGGGUGCAGUCCUACUGACAGCUCCACUUUAUGUCUCUGGUGGAUUUCUCAGGUUUGCAUCAUGGUCAGGGACCAGAAUAAAAGAAAGUGAACUGGGAAAUUUUUAGGGUCAGAAAAGGAGUUUUAAACUCAUACACACUUUAUCAAAAUCUUUUUUUUUGAGACAGA
rnacentral:lncRNA from 10 species